GCUCACUCUGGCCCACGAGGCCAUGCGUGCGGCUCACCACUGCGAACUCUCCCCGGUGCGUGCGUUCGUUCUCGCGCAGCGAGCC
rnacentral:tRNA from 1 species